rnacentral:rRNA from 1 species
AAACGGAGAGUUUGAUCCUGGCUCAGGAUGAACGCUGGCGGUAUGCUUAACACAUGCAAGUCGAACGGGAUGCUUAGGCAUCUAGUGGCGGACGGGUGAGUAACGCGUGAGAAUCUGGCUCCAGGUCGGGGAUAACAGUUGGAAACGACUGCUAAUACCGGAUGUGCCGAGAGGUGAAAGAUUUAUUGCCUGGAGAUGAGCUCGCGUCUGAUUAGCUAGUUGGUGGUGUAAGGGACCACCAAGGCGUCGAUCAGUAGCUGGUCUGAGAGGAUGAUCAGCCACACUGGGACUGAGACACGGCCCAGACUCCUACGGGAGGCAGCAGUGGGGAAUUUUCCGCAAUGGGCGAAAGCCUGACGGAGCAAUACCGCGUGAGGGAGGAAGGCUCUUGGGUCGUAAACCUCUUUUCUCAAGGAAGAAGAAAGUGACGGUACUUGAGGAAUAAGCAUCGGCUAACUCCGUGCCAGCAGCCGCGGUAAUACGGAGGAUGCAAGCGUUAUCCGGAAUGAUUGGGCGUAAAGGGUCUGCAGGUGGAACUGAAAGUCUGCUGUUAAAGAGUUUGGCUUAACCAAAUAAAAGCGGUGGAAACUACAGAACUAGAGUGCGGUAGGGGCAAAAGGAAUUCCUGGUGUAGCGGUGAAAUGCGUAGAUAUCAGGAAGAACACCGGUGGCGAAAGCGUUUUGCUAGACCGUAACUGACACUGAGGGACGAAAGCUAGGGGAGCGAAUGGGAUUAGAUACCCCAGUAGUCCUAGCCGUAAACGAUGGAUACUAGGCGUGGCUUGUAUCGACCCGAGCCGUGCCGGAGCUAACGCGUUAAGUAUCCCGCCUGGGGAGUACGCACGCAAGUGUGAAACUCAAAGGAAUUGACGGGGGCCCGCACAAGCGGUGGAGUAUGUGGUUUAAUUCGAUGCAACGCGAAGAACCUUACCAAGACUUGACAUCCUGCGAAUCCCGGUGAAAGCUGGGAGUGCCUUAGGGAGCGCAGAGACAGGUGGUGCAUGGCUGUCGUCAGCUCGUGUCGUGAGAUGUUGGGUUAAGUCCCGCAACGAGCGCAACCCUCGUUUUUAGUUGCCAGCAUUAAGUUGGGCACUCUAGAGAGACUGCCGGUGACAAACCGGAGGAAGGUGAGGAUGACGUCAAGUCAGCAUGCCCCUUACGUCUUGGGCUACACACGUACUACAAUGCUACGGACAGAGGGCAGCAAGCCAGGGAUGGCAAGCGAAUCCAGAAACCGUAGCUCAGUUCAGAUCGAAGGCUGCAACUCGCCUUCGUGAAGGAGGAAUCGCUAGUAAUUGCAGGUCAGCAUACUGCAGUGAAUUCGUUCCCGGGCCUUGUACACACCGCCCGUCACACCAUGGAAGUUGGUCACGCCCGAAGUCAUUACCCCAACCGAAAGGAGGGGGAUGCCUAAGGUAGGACUGGUGACUGGGGUGAAGUCGUAACAAGGUAGCCGUACCGGAAGGUGUGGCUGGAUCACCUCCUUU